rnacentral:rRNA from 1 species
UACGGGGGGGGCAAGCGUUGUUCGGAAUUACUGGGCGUAAAGGGCGCGUAGGCGGCCUGCUAAGUCGGACGUGAAAUCCCUCGGCUCAACUGGGGAACUGCGUCUGGGACUGGCGAGCUCGAGUGCAGGAGAGGAACGCGGAAUUCCAGGUGUAGCGGUGAAAUGCGUAGAUAUCUGGAGGAACACCGGUGGCGAAGGCGGCGUUCUGGACUGCAACUGACACUGAGGAACGAAAGCCAGGGGAGCAAACGGG